rnacentral:rRNA from 1 species
UACGUAGGGUGCGAGCGUUGUCCGGAAUUAUUGGGCGUAAAGAGCUUGUAGGCGGUUUGUCGCGUCUGCUGUGAAAUUUCGGGGCUCAACCCCGAACUUGCAGUGGGUACGGGCAGACUAGAGUGUGGUAGGGGAGACUGGAAGUUCCUGGUGUAGCGGUGAAAUGCGCAGAUAUCAGGAGGAACACCGAUGGCGAAGGCAGGUCUCUGGGCCACUACUGACGCUGAGAAGCGAAAGCAUGGGGAGCGAACAGG